CAUUUACUAACUAGUAUACUUGGCAUACUCAUUUGCAUAAGUUAACUAUUAUUUUGGGCUCCCGUUUGCUUGGGUUUUUUUUUUUCUUUUAUAUGGAGAUUUGAAUCAUAAAAUUUCUUUAUAUCAGCUGAGGAGAACAAAGUUGUAUGUCCACUAUCACUAGUAUACUUCUCAAAGAAGUUUCCAUGAUCAUGCCAUCUCUGGUUUACUGAUGAAAUCUGGAAACUGAUUUAGAUUCAAGUGCUAGUGGGUUGUUGCCAAAUCAAUAAUUUGGGUCAAAAUUUUCUUGAACAUUAUAAUAUAUUGGCAAUGACAAGUGUAGGUCCCUUGCAGUGUUCUGUAGCACUAUAAUUUACUCACAAUGAUGGAACAUCUUCCCCAAUAAUUCUCAUGGAGAGACUGUGGGAGCAUUCCCCAAUACGUUGAAUGUGGCCAUUGUACCACAACUGGGCCAGCCUAAGUAUUAUAAUGUGAAUCAAAUGUUGCAUUUUGACUCACUUCUCUGCCUACCACAUGAAUCAAGUGUUAUAUGAUAACUCAC
rnacentral:lncRNA from 1 species